CAGCCGCCGCGGGAAUACGUAGGUGGCAAGCGUUGUCCGGAAUUAUUGGGCGUAAAGGGCUCGCAGGCGGUUUCUUAAGUCUGAUGUGAAAGCCCCCGGCUCAACCGGGGAGGGUCAUUGGAAACUGGGAAACUUGAGUGCAGAAGAGGAGAGUGGAAUUCCACGUGUAGCGAUGAAAUGCGUAGAGAUGUGGAGGAACACCAGUGGCGAAGGCGACUCUCUGGUCUGUAACUGACGCUGAGGAGCGAAAGCGUGGGGAGCGGACAGGAUUAGAGACCCCUGUAGUCCCUGUCUCUUAUAC
rnacentral:rRNA from 1 species